rnacentral:lncRNA from 1 species
AAUUGUCUAAAGAAGAAAAAAAAGUUUAAAGAGUUGACAAGUCUAUGUAACGCUGUCACUGAAGCUGCUUUAAAGUCAAAUAAAAACUUAACCAAAAUGGAUGCUAUCCAACUUAUUGGGAGUGUAGUUAGGCAUUCUUCUGACCGAAUAAA